AUCGCUUCUCGGCCUAAUAGCUAAGAUCAAGUGUAGUAUCUGUUCUUAUUUCGGCUCCGGACCAUUUCACAAUUGGUUACGGUGUUGUUAGAAAGCAGAAACAGCACAAGAUCGAAACCGUGUCAGUCGAUAGAGGUUCAUGGCGUAGUCGCUUUUUCAGUGUCUCCGGACGUUAAAUGGAGAUAAUCCAUU
rnacentral:snRNA from 1 species